rnacentral:rRNA from 1 species
UCUUGGCUCAGGAUGACCGCUGCCGUCGUGCUUAACACAUUCAAGUCGAACGGUGAAGCAGAGCUUGCUCUGUGGAUCAGUGUCGAACGGGUGAUUUCCACGUCACCAACCUGCCCCUGACUCUGGCAUAAGCGCUGGAAACGGCGUCUAAUACAAGAUAUGAGAAGCGAUGGCAUCGUCAGCAGUUGGAAAGAUUUUUCGGUCUGGGAUGGGCUCACGCCCUAUCAGCUUGUUGGUGAGGUAAUGGUUCAACAAGGCGUCGACGGGUAGCCGGCCUGAGAGGUUGACCGCCCACGCUGGGACUGAGUCAUGGCCCAGACUCCUACGGGAGGCAGCAGUGGGGAAUAUUGCGCACUGGCCGAAUUCUUUAUGCAGCAACCCCGCGUGAGGGAUGUCGGCGUUCGGGUUGUAAACCUCUUUUAGCAGGGAAGAAGCGAAAGUGACGGUACCAGCAGAAAAAGCUCCGGCUAAGUACGCGCCAGCAACCGCGGUAAUACGUAGGGCGCAAGCGGUUAUCCGGAAUUAUUGGGCGUAAAGAGCUCGUAGGCGGUUUGUCGCGUUCUGCUGUGAAAUCCCGAGGCUCAACCUCGGGUCUGCAGUGGGUACGGGCAGACUAGAGUGCGGUAGGGGAGAUUGGAAUUCCUGGUGUAGCGGUGGAAUGCGCAGAUAUCAGGAGGAACACCGAUGGCGAAGGCAGAUCUCUGGGCCGUUACUGACGCUGAGGAGCGAAAGGUGCUGGAGGAGCAAACAGGCUUAGAUACCCUGGUAGUCCACCCCGUAAACGUUGGGAACUAGUUGUGGGGUCCAUUCCACGGAUUCCGUGACGCAGCUAACGCAUUAAGUUCCCCGCCUGGGGAGUACGGCCGCAAGGCUAAAACUCAAAGGAAUUGACGGGGACCCGCACAAGCGGCGGAGCAUGCGGAUUAAUUCGAUGCAACGCGAAGAACCUUACCAAGGCUUGACAUAUACGAGAACGGGCCAGAAAUGGUCAACUCUUUGGACACUCGUAAACAGGUGGUGCAUGGUUGUCGUCAGCUCGUGUCGUGAGAUGUUGGGUUAAGUCCCGCAACGAGCGCAACCCUCGUUCUAUGUUGCCAGCACGUAAUGGUGGGAACUCAUGGGAUACUGCCGGGGUCAACUCGGAGGAAGGUGGGGAUGACGUCAAAUCAUCAUGCCCCUUAUGUCUUGGGCUUCACGCAUGCUACAAUGGCCGGUACAAAGGGCUGCAAUACCGCGAGGUGGAGCGAAUCCCAAAAAGCCGGUCCCAGUUCGGAUUGAGGUCUGCAACUCGACCUCAUGAAGUCGGAGUCGCUAGUAAUCGCAGAUCAGCAACGCUGCGGUGAAUACGUUCCCGGGUCUUGUACACACCGCCCGUCAAGUCAUGAAAGUCGGUAACACCUGAAGCCGGUGGCCCAACCCUUGUGGAGGGAGCCGUCGAAGUGGGAUCGGUAUAGGACUAUCUAG